CAUGCCGUAAACGAUGAGUGCUAAGUGUUAGGGGGUUUCCGCCCCUUAGUGCUGCAGCUAACGCAUUAAGCACUCCGCCUGGGGAGUACGACCGCAAGGUUGAAACUCAAAGGAAUUGACGGGGGCCCGCACAAGCGGUGGAGCAUGUGGUUUAAUUCGAAGCAACGCGAAGAACCUUACCAGGUCUUGACAUCCCGUUGACCACUGUAGAGAUAUAGUUUCCCCUUCGGGGGCAACGGUGACAGGUGG
rnacentral:rRNA from 1 species